GCGCGAAAACUUUACAAUGCUGGCAACAGCGAUAAGGGAACCUCGAGUGCCAGGUUACAAAUCUGGCUGUCGAGAUGCCUAAAAAGCAUUUCAUAGCAAGGGCCGGGCAAGACCGGUGCCAGCCGCCGCGGUAACACCGGCGGCCCGAGUGGUAACCGUUAUUAUUGGGUCUAAAGGGUCUGUAGCCGGCCGGAUAAGUCUCUUGAGAAAUCUGGCAGCUUAACUGUCAGGCUUUCAGGAGAUACUGUCUGGCUCGAGGCCGGGAGAGGGGAGAGGUACUUCAGGGGUAGGGGUGAAAUCUUGUAAUCCUUGAAGGACCACCAGUGGCGAAGGCGUCUCACCAGAACGGACCUGACGGCAAGGGACGAAAGCUAGGGGCACGAACC
rnacentral:rRNA from 1 species